AUUGAACGCUGGCGGCAGGCCUAACACACGCAAGUCGAGCGCGAAAGUUCUUCGGAAUGAGUAAAGCGGCGGACGGGUGAGUAAUACAUGGGAAUCUGCCUGGUAGUGGGGGACAACGUUUCGAAAGGAACGCUAAUACCGCAUACGCCCUACGGGGGAAAGGGGGGGAUCUUCGGACCUCUCGCUAUCAGAUGAGCCCA
rnacentral:rRNA from 1 species